GUUAUAUGGUCAAGCGAAUAAGCGCACACGGUGGAUGCCUUGGCGGUCAGAGGCGAUGAAGGACGUGGCAGCCUGCGAAAAGUAUCGGGGAGCUGGCAACAAGCUUUGAUCCGGUAAUGUCCGAAUGGGGAAACCCACCCGCUUGCGGGUAUCCUGCAGUGAAUACAUAGCUGCUGGAAGCGAACCUGGUGAACUGAAAUAUCUAAGUAACCAGAGGAAAAGAAAUCAACCGAGAUUCCGUAAGUAGCGACGAGCGAACGCGGACUAGCCCUUAAGCUGAUUUGGUUCUAGGAAAACGCUCUGGAAAGAGCGGCCAUAGAAGGUGAUAGCCCUGUAUCUGAAAGGGCCAUUUCAGUGAAGACGAGUAGGGCGGGGCACGUGAAACCCUGUCUGAACAUGGGGGGACCAUCCUCCAAGGCUAAAUACUACUGACCGACCGAUAGUGAACCAGUACCGUGAGGGAAAGGCGAAAAGAACCCCGGAGAGGGGAGUGAAAUAGAACCUGAAACCGUGUGCGUACAAGCAGUAGGAGCUCCGCAAGGAGUGACUGCGUACCUUUUGUAUAAUGGGUCAGCGACUUACUGUUCGUGGCAAGCUUAACCGUAUAGGGGAGGCGAAGGGAAACCGAGUCUGAUAAGGGCGCAUAGUCGCGGGCAGUAGACCCGAAACCGGGUGAUCUAGUCAUGCCCAGGGUGAAGGUGCGGUAACACGCACUGGAGGCCCGAACCCACUCCCGUUGCAAAGGUAGGGGAUGAGGUGUGAUUAGGAGUGAAAAGCUAAUCGAACCCGGAGAUAGCUGGUUCUCCUCGAAAGCUAUUUAGGUAGCGCCUCAUAUGUAUCCUCUCGGGGGUAGAGCACUGUUAUGGCUAGGGGGUCAUCGCGACUUACCAAACCAUUGCAAACUCCGAAUACCGAGACGGACUGUAUGGGAGACACACGGCGGGUGCUAACGUCCGUCGUGAAAAGGGAAACAACCCAGACCCACAGCUAAGGUCCCAAAUUUUGUGCUAAGUGGAAAACCAUGUGGAAAGGCACAGACAGCCAGGAGGUUGGCUUAGAAGCAGCCACCCUUUAAAGAAAGCGUAAUAGCUCACUGGUCGAGUCGGUCUGCGGGGAAGAUUUAACGGGGCUAAGCACAGAACCGAAGCUUGGGGUGCAUAACUUUGUUAUGCGCGGUAGAGGAGCGUUCCGUAAGCCGUUGAAGGUGGAUUGAGAAGUCUGCUGGAGGUAUCGGAAGUGCGAAUGCUGACAUGAGUAACGAUAAUGCGGGUGAAAAACCCGCACGCCGAAAGCCCAAGGUUUCCUUGCGCAACGUUAAUCGGCGCAGGGUGAGUCGGCCCCUAAGGCGAGGACGAAAGUCGUAGUCGAUGGGAAGCAGGUUAAUAUUCCUGCACCUCGCGUAAGUGCGAUGGAGGGACGGAGAAGGUUAGGUGUACCAGGCGUUGGUUGUCCUGGGGAAAGGCGGUAGGUUUGGAUCUUUGGCAAAUCCGGGAUCCUCUAAGACCGAGCACCGAGACGAGCCUUUAUGGCAAAGUCACUGAUACCACGCUUCCAGGAAAAGCUCCUAAGCUUCAGCUUACGCAGACCGUACCGUAAACCGACACAGGUGGGUAGGAUGAGAAUUCUCAGGCGCUUGAGAGAACUCGGGUGAAGGAACUAGGCAACAUGGCACCGUAACUUCGGGAGAAGGUGCACCCUUUUUGGUGGCUCGUGCGAGCUAUAGCUGAAGAGGGUCGCAGUAACCAGGCCGCUGCGACUGUUUAUCAAAAACACAGCACUCUGCAAACACGAAAGUGGACGUAUAGGGUGUGACGCCUGCCCGGUGCUGGAAGGUUAAUUGAUGGGGUCAGCCGCAAGGCGAAGCUCUUGAUCGAAGCCCCAGUAAACGGCGGCCGUAACUAUAACGGUCCUAAGGUAGCGAAAUUCCUUGUCGGGUAAGUUCCGACCUGCACGAAUGGCGUAACGACAGCGGCGCUGUCUCCACCCGAGACUCAGUGAAAUUGAAAUCGCUGUGAAGAUGCAGCGUUCCCGUGGCAAGACGGAAAGACCCCGUGAACCUUUACUAUAGCUUUACACUGAACGUUGAGUUCGUCUGUGUAGGAUAGGUGGGAGGCUAUGAAACCAUGGCGCUAGCUGUGGUGGAGCCAUCCUUGAAAUACCACCCUGUCGUGCUUGACGUUCUAACCUGGGCCCAUUAUCUGGGUCGGGGACCGUGUAUGGUGGGUAGUUUGACUGGGGCGGUCUCCUCCUAAAGAGUAACGGAGGAGCUCGAAGGUACGCUCAGCGCGGUCGGACAUCGCGCACUGUGUGCAAAGGCAUAAGCGUGCUUGACUGCAAGAUCGACGGAUCAAGCAGGUAGGAAACUAGGACUUAGUGAUCCGGUGGUUCUGUAUGGAAGGGCCAUCGCUCAACGGAUAAAAGGUACUCCGGGGAUAACAGGCUGAUACCGCCCAAGAGUUCAUAUCGACGGCGGUGUUUGGCACCUCGAUGUCGGCUCAUCACAUCCUGGGGCUGUAGUCGGUCCCAAGGGUAUGGCUGUUCGCCAUUUAAAGUGGUACGCGAGCUGGGUUCAGAACGUCGUGAGACAGUUCGGUCCCUAUCUGCCAUGGGCGUUGGAGAUUUGAGAGGGGCUGCUCCUAGUACGAGAGGACCGGAGUGGACGAACCUCUGGUGUUCCGGUUGUCACGCCAGUGGCAUUGCCGGGUAGCUAUGUUCGGAAGCGAUAACCGCUGAAAGCAUCUAAGCGGGAAGCGCGCCUCAAGAUGAGAUCUCCCGGGGCACAAGCCCCCUGAAGGAACCAUGUAGACUACGUGGUUGAUAGGUCAGGUGUGUAAGUACAGCAAUGUAUUGAGCUAACUGAUACUAAUGAUCCGUGCGGCUUGACCAUAUAACCU
rnacentral:rRNA from 2 species